rnacentral:rRNA from 2 species
UCCGGUGGUUAUAGCGUAGAGGCAACACCCGAUACCAUUCCGACCUCGGUCGUUAAGCUCUACUGCGCCGAUGAUACUGCUACCUUUGGUUGUGGGAAAGUAGGUCAUCACCGGGA